ensembl:lncRNA
AUCCAUAAUCUCUAUUACACAUGACAUAGAAGAUAUCACAAAUGUUACAUUAUAACUAUAUUUUAAACAAAUUUUAAAUAACAAUAGCAGUACUUUAUCUUCUGCAGUUUGCUUUUUUGCACUUAGAUGUAGAAUGGGAACUUCUUUGCAUGCUAAUAUAUGUAGAUUUGGGACUUCCCUGGUGGCUAAAAUGGUAAAGAAUCUGCCUGCAAUACAGGAGACCUGGGUUCAUCCCUGGGUCCCAAAGAUCCCCUGAAGAUGGAAAUGGCAACCCACUGCAGUAUUCUUGCCUGGAGAAUUCCAUGGACAGAGGAGCCUGAUGGGCUACAGUCCAUGGGGUCGAAAAGAAUUGGACACUGAGUGACUUUCAUAUAUAGAUUCAGUUCUUCCCUUUUUGCUUUCCUCCUCAUUUGUCUUCUGUCUUCCUUCCUUUUUUUUUUCUCUUUUGCCGGUUUGAAGUUUAAUUAAUGUUUAUGAAUGCUGCCACAUUAGAAUUGUUUACCGCUUCUUGCUUUUGUCAGUUGCAUCCCAGCUGACCUGCACCGACACUUACCAUGUGUGCCUCAGUGUUCCAGGUCCUUUGCAUGUAGUACCCCAUUUAAUCCUGCAGGAGCCCCGUGAGAGCUUCCCUGGUGACUCAGUGUCAAAGAAUCUGCCUGCCAGUACAGGAGACUGGGGUUCAAUCCCCGGGUUGGAAAGAUCCCCUGAAAAACGAAAUGGCAACCCACUCCAGAAUUCUUGCCUGGAAAAUUCCCACGGGCAGAGGAGCCUGGUGGGCUGUAGUCCAUGCCGUCACCAAAAAGUCAGACAUGACUUAGCUACUAAACAACAAUGACAAUUUUUGCUACAUGGCUGGCUCAACAGAAAAUGGUACAUUUGAUUUUCAUCUUUUCUAUAAUGUGCUGGUCACAUGUGUGAUUUCUUCCACAGACUAUUUGAGAACUUGCCCUUUUUUCUAUCGAGGCAUCUUUUCUUCAGUAUGUUUUCAGCCCUCGCUUCAGGGAGCACAUAUACUAAAAGCAGAACGAUAUUUUUUUUCAAUGAUUUUC